UAGGAUAUGUCCAAAAACAUGAGAAGUCAGUGAACCCCAGUUUGUGGAACAUUUAGUUAAAUGACACCAAACAGGAAACAUGUCCACUUUGAAGGAUUACCAGAAGCCUCUCUCUAAUGCCCAAGUCCAUGAGCUGCUUUCCAGAGCCACCCUACCUUCUUGCAUCAGUUGAUAUUCUGGCCAUACCUUCUCUGAAAGUUUCUAUUGGAAGAGUCUUCCAUGGGCUAAUUAUUCUUUUUGUUGAGUUUGACCAGAAAUGCAAGGACCUGACCACUCUACCAGUGCCAUUCCUCAGGUUUCUGUUUGCAACCUCAAUGGGAUGAGGUAAUGUUUCCCCCUGGGACAAAAACCAGGCUUAUUUAUAGGGUGCAAUGAACCAGUAAGUUUCCGAGGGCCAGUGUCCUUCUCUUGUAAUGCAGCCUACUGUGUGUGCAGACAUCAAUCUAUGCCCACUUGCGUUACCCCCAUGGGAACUGAAGAUCAGAGAACCAACAUGACCACGCAGACAAUCAGGCUACUGCUUUGAUCACUCAGCAGUUAGGAGGCUGAUCAUCCAGACUGUGUCACCCAUGCUCCCUUUCCAGGUGACUUCUAGUUGGAUUUGGCCAACAGGACUUGCUAGCAGUAAAUUGGAAGGUUCAAAGGAUUUAAGACAGGUCAAUCAAAGUAAAGCUAAUGAAACCACAGACUUAACAAAACUGGGACUUGAUUUCUGCAGCCCCUUUUUCUGGACUGAGUCAUCCUGGUCCUAAUUAACUUACCACAAUUCAAGAAACCACAGUGGCCAAAAGAAGAAUCAUAAUGAUGAUGGUGAGUGAACCCGGAACUCUUGUCUCAUUUUCGAACACAUUCCAAAUACAUAUUCCACAGCAUGCCUGAUUUUACUACACAACAAUCAGCAAGAAAGUCACCUUAACACCUCCAUCUAUCUGCCGCUUGCCAUAAAGCAGCUGCAAUGUAUUUACCGUCAACCGAGAAAGAAAUCUAUAUUUAUCCGGAUGUGGAAGAUGCUGAAUUUACCGACAAUUGACAAAUUAGUCUGGAAUGAGAAUGCAUAUAAAAAUAGCCUACAGUGUGCCAUUAUGUUGUGACAUAAAUAUAUUGUCUCUUCCCUCAAUUUAUGCCAGAAGCAAAUGAACAAUGUUUCUGCAACAUGAGUAAUUUCUCAUCCACAUUAGUCUGCCUUUAUUUUUUUUCUUUUAUCUCUCUGAGUUUUCAACAGAGAUAAGGGAAAAUCAUAAUAACCAUAGUGAAUAUCUACCCAAUGAAAUCCAUAUACGUAAUUAGUAAAAUCUCCAUAGGCUAUGUGUCUAAUUUCUAAUUUAGUAGAAAAUUAAAUUUAAAUUUAUCAUUUCUCACUCCCCAUAGCUAUAUAUUUAUUUGUAUAUACGUAGGCAUAUACUCAUAUUUCUGUAAUAACAAUGUACUCUGUAUCUUAAUAUAAAAUUCUUAGGCUUUUCAUAAUGUAGUCAGACAGAUUUUUGCUCUUGGCUACAAAUGAAUGAUUUGACAUUUUUCGCCCCAAAUCAAAUCAUUUUCAACGAGGCGGUAUAGUUUAGUAAUUAAGAAUAUAGAUCGGAAAUCCUUGUUUUAAAAGCCAACUUUAUUUUUACUCUCUGUGUGAUAUUUGGUUAAGUUAGCUAUCCUCUCACAACCUCCAUUUCCUUACCUUGGAAGCAAAUAUCAACCACACAGUCUUAUUUAGGUACUAAAUCGUGAUUAUAUACAAACCUAUAGUUUAAUGUGUGAUAUUUAAUCUUAUUGAAUUACGAGUAGUGCUAAUAUUAGUAAUUAUUGAAUACUAUUAGUCUUAAAAUAAAUAUAGCAAUAAUAUAGGCUUAUUCAGUAUACUUUGUCAAUCAUCCUGGCCACUGAUCCCAGCAUGGUACUGAAAACAUUUUAGUUUAUUUUCCUUAAAGAUCAGCUUUCCUUAAAGAUCAUAAAGCUACCAUAUAAACUAGAUACUCAUAUAUCUUUCUCUUUUAGAUUUUGCAGAGCUUUGCUUAACAUAUGUGUAACUUUAGUUAAUUCUAUAACAGCCAAAUCCUACUGAAGCCAAUGUAACAGAUCCCUCCUACUCCCAUCUUCCAUAAUCAUUCACUGCAUUCUCAUUAUUUAUCAACUACAUUACAGAUGUAAACUAAUGUUUACAAGAGCUGCUGAAGAUCAUAGAGACUGGUUCAGUGGGUGCUCAUUAUACACUUUUGAAUAAUAAAGCCAAGAUCCGCAC
rnacentral:lncRNA from 10 species